UGGCAAAAGAAUUCCCAAGGAGGAAGAGGA
rnacentral:piRNA from 1 species